AUUGAACGCUGGCGGCAUGCCUUACACAUGCAAGUCGAACGGUAACAGGUCUUCGGAUGCUGACGAGUGGCGAACGGGUGAGUAAUACAUCGGAACGUGCCUAGUAGUGGGGGAUAACUACUCGAAAGAGUGGCUAAUACCGCAUGAGAUCUACGGAUGAAAGCAGGGGAUCGCAAGACCUUGUGCUACUAGAGCGGCGGAUGGCAGAUUAGGUAGUUGGUGGGAUAAAAGCUUACCAAGCCGACGAUCUGUAGCUGGUCUGAGAGGACGAUCAGCCACACUGGGACUGAGACACGGCCCAGACCCCUACGGGAGGCAGCAGUGGGGAAUUUUGGACAAUGGGCGCAAGCCUGAUCCAGCAAUGCCGCGUGCAGGAUGAAGGCCUUCGGGUUGUAAACUGCUUUUGUACGGAACGAAAAGCCCUGGGUUAAUACCCUGGGGUCAUGACGGUACCGUAAGAAUAAGCACCGGCUAACUACGUGCCAGCCGCCGCUGUAA
rnacentral:rRNA from 1 species